CUAGAAUUGAGUGGUCCCCCUAGG
rnacentral:miRNA from 1 species